rnacentral:rRNA from 1 species
GCGAGAAUAUUCGACAAUGGACGAAAGUCUGAUCGAGCGACGCCGCGUGUACGAUGAAGUUUUUCGGAAUGUAAAGUACUUUUAUGAGGGAAGAACGUUGACGGUACCUCAUGAAUAAGUGGUUGCUAACUCUGUGCCAGCAGCAGCGGUAAUACAGAGACCACAAGCGUUAUCCGGAAUUAUUGGGCGUAAAGGGUGCGUAGGUUGUUUGAUAAGAUAUAUGUGAAAUACCUGGGCUCAACCUGGGAAGGUCAUAUAAGACUGUCAGACUCGAGUAUGGGAGAGGGUAGAGGAAUUUCCGGUGUAGCGGUGAAAUGCGUAGAUAUCGGAAGGAACAUCGGUGGCGAAGGCGUCUACCUGGCCUAAUACUGACACUGAGGCACGAAAGCGUGGGGAGCAAACAGGAUUAGAUACCCUUGUAGUCCCUGAGCGGGCUGGCAAGGCGCAU